GUGGGUAUAGCUCAGUGGUAGAGCACAUGCUUAGCAUGCGUGAGGUUCGGGGUUCAGUCCCCAGUACCUCCA
rnacentral:tRNA from 1 species